rnacentral:rRNA from 1 species
AUUGAACGCUGGCGGCAGGCCUAACACAUGCAAGUCGAGCGGAUGAAGGGGGCUUGCUCCUGGAUUCAGCGGCGGACGGGUGAGUAAUGCCUAGGAAUCUGCCUGGUAGUGGGGGAUAACGUCCGGAAACGGGCGCUAAUACCGCAUACGUCCUGAGGGAGAAAGUGGGGGAUCUUCGGACCUCACGCUAUCAGAUGAGCCUAGGUCGGAUUAGCUAGUUGGUGGGGUAAAGGCCUACCAAGGCGACGAUCCGUAACUGGUCUGAGAGGAUGAUCAGUCACACUGGAACUGAGACACGGUCCAGACUCCUACGGGAGGCAGCAGUGGGGAAUAUUGGACAAUGGGCGAAAGCCUGAUCCAGCCAUGCCGCGUGUGUGAAGAAGGUCUUCGGAUUGUAAAGCACUUUAAGUUGGGAGGAAGAGCAGUAAGUUAAUACCUUGCUGUUUUGACGUUACCAACAGAAUAAGCACCGGCUAACUUCGUG